UGUCUUUUUGAAAAUAAUAUAAAGUCUAAUCUGCCCACUGAUUGAUAAUUAAAGGGCUGCAGUAUUUUGACUGUACAAAGGUAGCAUAAUCAUUAGUCAUUUAAUUGAUGACUUGUAUGAAAGAUUGGAUGAAAUAUAAACUGUUUCUUAAUUAAAUAUAGAAUUUAAUUUUUUUAUUAAAAAGUUAAAAUAAUUUAAAAAGACGAGAAGACCCUAUAGAGUUUAAUAAAUAAAAAAAAUUGAGAUUAUUUAUAAAUAUUAAAAUUAAAAUUUAAUUAUUUAUUUUGUUGGGGUGACAAAAAAAUUUAUUUAACUUUUUUAAAAGUAAAACAUUAAUAAGUGGGUUAUUGAUCCAGUUAUACUGAUUAUAAGAAAAAAUUACCUUAGGGAUAACAGCGUAAUUUUUUUUUUUAGUUCAAAUAAGAAAAAGAGUUUGCGACCUCGAUGUUGGAUUAAGAUAAAAUUUAAAUGUAGAAG
rnacentral:rRNA from 1 species